rnacentral:other from 1 species
UCGUCCCUGCGCUGUGCGUGAUGCCGGGGGGAAGUUUCAACCUCAUUCACCCAACGGGAGCCGCAACCGAGGGCGGUGCGCAAGCCCCUCAUCGAAGGGGAAGCCUGAAGCCCUCCACGAUGGCGCCCACCUGGUAGACACCAGGUUCGAAACACCUUCGGCACACGGCAGAGGUGGGGAUCAU